rnacentral:rRNA from 1 species
UGACAGAGGUCCCGAGCGUUGUUCGGAUUCAUUGGGCGUAAAGGGUGCGUAGGCGGCUUUCCGUAAGUUUGAUGUGAAAUCCUGGGGCUCAACCCUGGAACUGCAUUGAAUACUGGGAAGGCUAGAGAACUGGAGAGGAGACGUGGAAAUUUGACGGUGUAGCAGUGAAAUGCGUAGAGAUCGUAAGGAAGACCAGUGGCGAAGGCGAGUCUC